rnacentral:rRNA from 1 species
GCACGGUAUCGCAUGAUACAGUGUGAAAAACUCCGGUGGUAUAAGAUGGACCCCCGUCUGAUUACCUUGUUGGUGAGGUAACGGCCCACCAAGGCGACCAUCAUUAGCCGGCCUGACAGGGUGAACGGCCACAUUGGGACUGAGACACGGCCCAAACUCCUACGGGAGGCAGCAGUGGGGAAUAUUGCACCAUGGGGGAAACCCUGAUGCAGCGACGCCGCGUGAGUGAUGAAGUAUUUCGGUAUGUAAAACUCUAUCAGCAGGGAAGAUAAUGACGGUACCUGACUAAGAAGCACCGGCUAAAUACGUGCCAGCAGCCGCGGUAAUACGUAUGGUGCAAGCGUUAUCCGGAUUUACUGGGUGUAAAGGGUGCGUAAGUGGUAUGGCAAGUCAGAAGUGAAAGGCUGGGGCUCAACCCCGGGACUGCUUUUGAAACUGUCAAACUAGAGUACAGGAGAGGAAAGCGGAAUUCCUAGUGUAGCGGUGAAAUGCGUAGAUAUUAGGAGGAACACCCGUGGCGAAGGCGGCUUUCUGGACUGAAACUGACC